UUACCUAGGCUUGACAUCCCUGGAAUUUUGUGGAAACACAAAAGUGCCUUUCGGGGAACCAGGAGACAGGUGCUGCAUGGCUGUCGUCAGCUCGUGUCGUGAGAUGUUGGGUUAAGUCCCGCAACGAGCGCAACCCUUAUCUUUAAUUGCCAGCAUUCAGUUGGGCACUUUAAAGAGACUGCCGGUGUUAAACCGGAGGAAGUGGGGAUGACGUCAAGUCCUCAUGGCCUUUAUGCCCAGGGCUACACACGUGCUACAAUGGGCGGUACAAAGAGAAGCAACCUCGCGAGGGUGAGCAAAUCUCAAAAAGCCGUUCUCAGUUCGGAUUGAAGUCUGCAACUCGACUUCAUGAAGUCGGAAUCGCUAGUAAUGGCGGAUCAGCAUGCCGCCGUGAAUACGUUCCCGGGUCUU
rnacentral:rRNA from 1 species